GAGAGGAGAAUGGGCUUUCAACACUUACUUUUAAUUGGUUUCCCAACUUUUCCCUUAUAUUAUAUAAGCACUAUGUAAACUUCAUUUUUUAAUUCAAAAGUAAAAUAAAUACAAUUAAAACACGUUUUUAAUGCCACUUAAUAAGAAAACUACAUUGUCAGCAUGUCUCUUUAACGAUGUUUGAUCAAUUUAACGCAAAGCCUUUAUUUAAUUCAAUUUUACAAAAAUAAGGACCCG
rnacentral:lncRNA from 1 species